UGGUGGAGUGAUUUGUCUGGUUAAUUCCGUUAACGAACGAGACCUCGACCUGCUAAAUAGUUCGGUUCAGACGUCAGUCUGGAUACGUGACUUCUUAGAGGGACUAUCGGUGUUUUAGCCGAAGGAAGUUCGAGGCAAUAACA
rnacentral:rRNA from 1 species